rnacentral:rRNA from 1 species
UACGUAGGGGGCGAGCGUUAUCCGGAAUUAUUGGGCGUAAAGAGUGCGUAGGUGGUUGUUUAAGCGUGGGGUGAAAGGCAAUAGCUUAACUAUUGUAAGCCCCGCGAACUGGGCGACUUGAGUGCAGGAGAGGAAAGCGGAAUUCCUAGUGUAGCGGUGAAAUGCGUAGAUAUUAGGAGGAACACCAGUGGCGAAGGCGGCUUUCUGGACUGUAACUGACACUGAGGCACGAAAGCGUGGGGAGCAAACAGGAUUAGAUACCCUGGUAGUCCACGCCGUAAACGAUGAGCACUAGGUGUCGGGGCCGCAAGGCUUCGGUGCCGCAGUUAACGCAUUAAGUGCUCCGCCUGGGGAGUACGCACGCAAGUGUGAA